GAGGAGAAAGAAGACCCGACGGAGGGGGACGGAUGCGUGACCGCGAGCGGAGAUCGACGGCGAUCGGGGCUGCAUCGUCGGGAGCAUCUCAGAUCUUGUUGUGGCCGCCGAUUUGAGUCGUAAAUCGGUGAUCUUAGAGUGUUGUCGGUGCCGCCCGUCCGCGACUCGGUUGAGCCGAACUCGUAAAAACUUCUCUGUGCCUUUUUCCGUUUCUGAUUCUCGGAGAGGGGUUCAGAGGUGAAUCGGUGAAGGAACGACGGACUGUUCUUUGCAAUCUGAAAGCUUGAGCAGGAUCAUGUGCACUUGUAUUAAAUGCUUGUAUAUAAAGAAAGGAGUAACACAAGCAGCAGUCCAUGGCAGGAAUAGAACUACAACCAGCAACAACAACAACAACAACAACAACAAUGACAAGCAGUAGAUCAUUGGUUCUUAAUUAGACAUCAGACACUUCCAUUGCUUAUUUGUUCAAACAGAUGUAACACCUGCGAUUCUUCCAAUGGAAUUAUAAUCAAGGAACUCCAUUUUUGUAGCUCGUGGCUUCCGUAGCCAUCUUUUCUGCGUCGUGGUUUCUUCCUCCACCGGGCCGUGAUAUGGAGGGUCCAGUCUCUAUGGUUCCUGCACUUAAACUACAUGUUAAAGAACAAUUUCCUCGCACCAGUCAAUAAAGUCAGGACCUCUUUUUUUUUU